UUCAACCUCCUCUAAGAUUCUUCUACCCUCCGCUCCUCCACCGCCAUCCACCACUUACGUAUUCCUUUAACAAUUGUAACGGAUUCUGAUACAAAAUGAAGAACGAUUUCAGGUCAUUGGUAGAUGGUGGCAGAAUUUACGAAUCCGGUGCUUGGGUGGGGAGACGCUGACGAUGUCGUAGGUUGCGGGGAUUGUUGUUAGUGAUAACGUGGUGGUGAAGGUGGAGUUGUCGAAGGCGGCGAGAUUUGGGGUGAAGGUGAAUAGUGAUUGGGUUAUGGAGGGUAUGAUUAAAGGUACCGAUAGGUACGGUGUCAUCACCGGUUUUGGAGCCACGUCUCACCGAAGAAGUAAAGAAGGUGGUCGUUUGAAUUUGAUUUGUUUGAUUUUGCAUAUUGCUGCUUACAUAGAUUGGUUAUCCGGUCAUGUCAAAAGACUGUAUCCGCUCUCUGCUUCUCCCCUUUCUCAUGCUUCUCCUCCUACUCCUUUAAUAUUCCUGUUAAUCAGUAUCCUUCUGUAUUCAUAUUUAACUUCCUUUAUAGAAGAAGAUUGGAUUCUCUUUUAUGAGAUAGGAAGGAACUUCAAGAGCAUAUAAGGAUUGGAAAUCAGAGAAUAUGAUGGUACACAUACAAUUAGUUUAUUGAAGUUGGAGGGACCAUUUAACUGUGUUGGAUUUUAUCCUGAAUACGUGUGUCUAAAUGACAGUACCUUGAAUAAAGCACCCAACAGAUGAGGCCAUAUGAAAUCCCAUGGAUAGAGGUCAGUAUUUGUCAAUAAUAUUAUAUUUUCUUCAAUGUUCUUGACAUGUAUUUAGAUACUUUAAAAUCGAUUUCUAUGUAUCUACGUAUAAACAGGCCAAUAUAUAAAGAAACAACUUCAUUAUCUACAUAAUCUAGGGUGGAAAGUAAACAUGUGAUUGUUUGUCACUAUGUGUUUCUGACCGUACAACUAUGAAAAUAAACGAUAUGUGACUAAGGCUUAAUUACAAACGUUUAUUACCUGUUAAUUCCCUCUCUUUAUGCUCUGGUGUUUUGAUUAACUUCAUUAUGCACUAAAUGCCUAAUUAGGGCGUGCUGACAUCAAAUUACACAUACCAUCUUCUUGGGAUCACAGGUUAGGUAAAUCUAUUAGUAGAUUUUUUAUUUUGUCAUGUUUUUGGCUUACUUUUUUUGACAUUGCAGAUAUAUUUCUAAUAGGAAAGCCAUAACUGUUGAAGUAGCUAAUAGUGGAGAUUGACCAAGGUUAGUAGGCACAAGAACUAUUUAAGGGGGAUGCUUACACAAUCUCAUCUGAAGUUACACUUGGAAGGAGUGAAAUAGAAGAUAAAGCAUAAAUAAAGAAGAAAGAAAUACUUGGGUGCUUCUAAUUCAUGUAAUAUGUGGUAUAAUGCUAUACGUGUUGGAUUACAUCCCGAUAAAAGUUGUGAACAUUGAUGUUUGUGGCCAAGGUAUCAUUUUUCUUAUUCUAUCCAAAACAUGCAAUGUUAACUUCAUUAUCUGAUAUGGCCUUUAAUCGUUUUUUCACCAUGUGUUAAUCAAUGAUGUAUACAUUUUGCAAAAUAGGAACUGAACAUGAAAAUAACAUUUUUAA